UGGGGAAUAUUGGACAAUGGGGGCAACCCUGAUCCAGCCAUGCCGCGUGAGUGAAGAAGGCCUUCGGGUUGUAAAGCUCUUUCGACGGGGACGAUGAUGACGGUACCCGUAUAAGAAGCCCCGGCAAACUUCGUGCCAGCAGCCGCGGUAAUACGAAGGGGGCUAGCGUUGUUCGGAAUUACUGGGCGUAAAGCGCGCGUAGGCGGUGAUCCAUGUCAGAGGUGAAAGCCCGGAGCUCAACUCCGGAAUUGCCUUUGAAACGGGAUCGCUUGAGUCCGAGAGAGGAUGGCGGAAUUCCUAGUGUAGAGGUGAAAUUCGUAGAUAUUAGGAAGAACACCGGUGGCGAAGGCGGCCAUCUGGCUCGGUACUGACGCUCAGGCGCGAAAGCGUGGGGAGCAAACA
rnacentral:rRNA from 1 species